rnacentral:rRNA from 1 species
CCUACGGGCGGCAGCAGUGGGGGAUAUUGCACAAUGGGGGAAACCCUGAUGCAGCGACGCCGCGUGAGUGAAGAAGUAUUUCGGUAUGUAAAGCUCUAUCAGCAGGGAAGAAGAAAGACGGUACCUGACUAAGAAGCCCCGCCUAACUACGUGCCCGCACCCGCGGGAAAACGUAGGGGGCAAGAGUUAUCCGGAUUUACUGGGUGUAAAGGGAGCGGAGACGGCUGUGCAAGUCUGAAGUGAAAGCCCAGGGCUCAACCCCGGGACUGCUUUGGAACCUGUGGAGCUAGAGUACUGGAGAGGUAAGUGGAAUUCCUGGUGUAGCGGUGAAAUGCGUAGAUAUUAGGAGGAACACCAGUGGCGAAGGCGGCUUACUGGACAGUAACUGACGUUGAGGCUCGAAAGCGUGGGGAGCAAACAGGAUUAGAUACCCGAGUAGUC